UCGUGAAAGGCUAAUGGCGGACGCCGGCGGGUUGGCAGUGGUGGUGGCUUAGGCCUUGAAGGGAUUCAGCAUCCGUCGGGUAUCGAAGCCAUCCUUCUUGCAGCAGGCCUGCUUUGACUUGGAACUGUUGCCAUAACCAAGACGUGACUGAGUGUCACAGCUUUGCUUGUCAUCAUGUUUCUGUACAACUUGACCUUACAGCGGGCCACUGGCAUCAGCUUUGCCAUCCAUGGCAACUUCUCUGG
rnacentral:lncRNA from 1 species